ensembl:misc_RNA Metazoa_SRP Metazoan signal recognition particle RNA
GCUGGGUGCUGUGGUGUGUGCCUAUAGUCCCAGCUACUCAGGAGGCUGAAGCGGGAGAAUCACUUGAGUCCAGGAGUUCCGGACUGUAGUGUGCCAUGCUGAUCGAUGUCUGCACUAAGUUCAGCAUCAAUAUGGUGUCCUCUUUGAGCAAGAGAUCACCAGGUUGCCUAAGGAUAGUGAACCAGUAUAGGCUGGAAACAGCAGGACAGAACUUUCAUGCUGAUCAGUAGUGGAAUCAUGCUUGUGAAUAGCCACUGCACUUUAAGCUGGGCAACAUAGCAAGACCUUGUCUCUA